GGUGACCUGCGGAAGGAUCAUUACUGAGUGAGGGCCCUCUGGGUCCAACCUCCCACCCGUGUUUAUUUACCUUGUUGCUUCGGCGGGCCCGCCUUAACUGGCCGCCGGGGGGCUUACGCCCCCGGGCCCGCGCCCGCCGAAGACACCCUCGAACUCUGUCUGAAGAUUGAAGUCUGAGUGAAAAUAUAAAUUAUUUAAAACUUUCAACAACGGAUCUCUUGGUUCCGGCAUCGAUGAAGAACGCAGCGAAAUGCGAUACGUAAUGUGAAUUGCAAAUUCAGUGAAUCAUCGAGUCUUUGAACGCACAUUGCGCCCCCUGGUAUUCCGGGGGGCAUGCCUGUCCGAGCGUCAUUGCUGCCCUCAAGCCCGGCUUGUGUGUUGGGCCCCGUCCUCCGAUUCCGGGGGACGGGCCCGAAAGGCAGCGGCGGCACCGCGUCCGGUCCUCGAGCGUAUGGGGCUUUGUCACCCGCUCUGUAGGCCCGGCCGGCGCUUGCCGAUCAACCCAAAUUUUUAUCCAGGUUGACCUCGGAUCAGGUAGGGAUACCCGCUGAACUUAAGCAUAUCAUAA
rnacentral:rRNA from 1 species